rnacentral:rRNA from 1 species
AGAGUUUGAUCCUGGCUCAGAACGAACGCUGGCGGCAGGCUUAACACGUGCAAGUCGAGCGCAUCCUUCGGGGUGAGCGGCAGACGGGUGAGUAACGCGUGGGGAUGUACCCAGAGGUGUGGAAUAACUGUGGGAAACUACAGCUAAUACCGCAUACGCCCUUCGGGGGAAAGAUUUAUUGCCUUUGGAUCAACCCGCGUCAAGAUUAGCUAGUUGGUAGGGUAACGGCCUACCAAGGCGACGAUCUGUAGCUGGUCUGAGAGGAUGACCAGCCACACUGGGACUGAGACACGGCCCAGACUCCUACGGGAGGCAGCAGUGGGGAAUAUNGGACAAUGGGCGCAAGCCUGAUCCAGCCAUGCCGCGUGAGUGAUGACGGCCUUAGGGUUGUAAAGCUCUUUUAACAGGGACGAUAAUGACGGUACCUGUAGAAUAAGCCCCGGC